GACGAACGCUGGCGGCGUGCCUAAUACAUGCAAGUCGAACGGACUCUUAAUUUGCUUUUAUAGCAAAGCGCCCGCCUGAUGAGAGCGGACAUAUGAGUUUUUUCAAGUUGUAAAAUACUUGAAAACUACAUAUGUCUGCUAGGCAUCAGGCCUUAAGCAAGAGUUAGUGGCGGACGGGUGAGUAACACGUUAGUACCUGCCCUUUAGGUGGGAAUAACUCGGCGAAAGUCGAGCUAAUACCGCAUGUGAUCCUUCGGGAUGAAAGCCUUCGGGCGGCUAAAGGGAGGGGCUUGCGUCUAGAUUAGCUAGGUUGGUAGUGUAAUCGGACUACCAAGGCGAUGAUCAGUAGCUGGUUCGAGAGGAUGACCAGCCACAC
rnacentral:rRNA from 1 species